UAGCGAGCCAACCUCCCACCCGUGUUUACUGUACCUUAGUUGCUUCGGCGGGCCCGCCAUUCAUGGCCGCCGGGGGCUCUCAGCCCCGGGCCCGCGCCCGCCGGAGACACCACGAACUCUGUCUGAUCUAGUGAAGUCUGAGUUGAUUGUAUCGCAAUCAGUUAAAACUUUCAACAAUGGAUCUCUUGGUUCCGGCAUCGAUGAAGAACGCAGCGAAAUGCGAUAACUAGUGUGAAUUGCAGAAUUCCGUGAAUCAUCGAGUCUUUGAACGCACAUUGCGCCCCCUGGUAUUCCGGGGGGCAUGCCUGUCCGAGCGUCAUUGCUGCCCAUCAAGCACGGCUUGUGUGUUGGGUCGUCGUCCCCUCUCCGGGGGGGACGGGCCCCAAAGGCAGCGGCGGCACCGCGUCCGAUCCUCGAGCGUAUGGGGCUUUGUCACCCGCUCUGUAGGCCCGGCCGGCGCUUGCCGAACGCAAAUCAAUCUUUUCCAGGUUGACCUCGGAUCAGGUAGGGAUACCCGCUGAACUUAAGCAUAUCAAUAAGCGGAGGAA
rnacentral:rRNA from 1 species